GUCUUCAUUCCCCCAGCGAAGAGGUCAGCGACCCCACCUGAGGACACCUGUUUGAGGAAAUUUGGGGGAUUGAAUUGGACUAUGUCACGGGGUCGCAUACGAGCAUUCUGGGAUAGAUAAUCCGCUGGAGGAAUGGCUGACCUCGAUGUUCGGCCAGUGGAAAGAGGGCUUGCCAUGAGAGUGAUUUCUACAGCCAUUGAGAAGGCUCCAGGAUCGCCAUCAGGGAUGCUGAUGCCUCUACUGGAGCAGCAUGACCCGGGAGAACUGGAGCUUGGCGAAUAGGGGUGAUCUCUCUGGGGAGAGAUCAAAAGGGGGAAUUGUAGAUGUAGUGAUUGUAUAAGUUAGUGAACUGUUAUAAGCUGUUGUAACCAAUGUAGAUGUAUUGAUUAUAUAAGUUAGUGAACUGUUAUAAGCUGUUGUAACCAAUGAAACAAAAUAUUAAAUGUCUGUAAUAUGAACCGAAACUGAAGGAGCAAGUAGGAGAAUAGGAAACCCUGUUUAAGCAGUUGCCGGGGAGAGAAAGAUUUAGUAUGUCUGUUUUGUGAGAAACAGGACACAGGUUAGAGACACACACACAUAGUCGGACAGACAACACAGAAACCACAAG
ensembl:lncRNA